rnacentral:rRNA from 1 species
UACAGAGGGUGCGAGCGUUAAUCGGAAUUACUGGGCGUAAAGCGUGCGUAGACGGUUUCGUAAGUCGGGUGUGAAAUCCCCGGGCUCAACCUGGGAAUUGCAUUCGAAACUGCGAGGCUAGGGUACGGAAGAGGGAAGCGGAAUUUCUGGUGUAGCGGUGAAAUGCGUAGAUAUUGGAAAGAACACCGAUGGCGAAGGCACUCUACUGGGCUAUUACUGACACUCAGAGACGAAAGCUAGGGGAGCAAAUGGG